CUCCUAAAAACAAUACCGCCAAAAACACUAAAAUAUUUACCCUCCAGCCCCCGGUCACUCCUCGUAUCUCUCCCCUCUCCUCCUCUUCCCCCACUCCCCAUUUCUCCAACCCUAGCCUCACCGCCGUCGUCUCCUUCCUCUCCCGCGAGCUGUGCCGUAACUGCCAUCAAUCACCGCCUCCUCUCUGUACCCUCUCCUCCUAUUCCCCCUACCCAUUUCUCCAACCGUAGCCUCAUUGCCGCCGCCAUCAAACGCCGCA
rnacentral:lncRNA from 1 species